UACGUAGGGUGCAAGCGUUGUUCGGAAUUACUGGGCGUAAAGGGCGCGUAGGCGGGCCUGUAUGUCGAUUGUGAAAUCCCAGGGCUUAACCUUGGAAUUGCAGUCGAAACUGCAGGUCUUGAAUGCCUGAGGGGAUGGCGGAAUUCCCGGUGUAGAAGUGAAAUUCGUAGAUAUCGGGAAGAACACCUGAGGCGAAGGCGGCUGUCUGGCGGUGCAUUGACGCUGAGGCGCGAAAGCGUGGGGAGCAAACAGG
rnacentral:rRNA from 1 species